rnacentral:rRNA from 1 species
GCCAGACUCCUACGGGAGGCAGCAGUGGGGAAUAUUGCACAAUGGGGGAAACCCUGAUGCAGCGACGCCGCGUGAGUGAAGAAGUAUUUCGGUAUGUAAAGCUCUAUCAGCAGGGAAGAAAAUGACGGUACCUGACUAAGAAGCCCCGGCUAACUACGUGCCAGCAGCCGCGGUAAUACGUAGGGGGCAAGCGUUAUCCGGAUUUACUGGGUGUAAAGGGAGCGUAGACGGCAUGGCAAGUCAGAUGUGAAAGCCCGGGGCUCAACCCCGGGACUGCAUUUGAAACUGUCAGGCUGGAGUGCAGGAGAGGUAAGUGGAAUUCCUAGUGUAGCGGUGAAAUGCGUAGAUAUUAGGAGGAACACCAGUGGCGAAGGCGGCCUGCUGGGCUUUUACUGACGCUGAGGCUCGAAAGUGUGGGGAGCAAACAGGAUUAGAUACCCCAGUA